GUGCUCUCGUCAGCAGCACAUAUACUAAAAUUGGAACGAUACAGAGAAGAUUAGCAUGGCCCUUGCGCAAGGAUGACAAACGUUUUUUAAAAAAUAUUAAAUUUUA
ensembl:snRNA U6 U6 spliceosomal RNA